rnacentral:lncRNA from 1 species
GCUCAGACUCUCCUUGGGUGGGUCUUGUUGCAGUUGCUGUGAGGAUGGGGGUGAGUUUCUCAGGUCAAUGGAGUUAUGUUCCUAGGAGGAUUAUGCCGGUUUCUACUGUGUCAUGCAGGUUGUCAGGGAAGUGAGGGAAAGCCAGGAGUCACAGAUCUCACCCAGCUUCCAUGCAAUCCAAAGGGCCGUUCUCACUCCCAAUGUGCCCCCGGACCCAACAGCACUGAGUCUGUUUCCAGGCAGUGGGUAAGCAGGGCUGAGAACUUUCCCCAGGCAAUCUGCUUCCCAGCUGUGAAAGCAAAUAUGGCUUUCCUUCUUCCCCCACCUGUGGAGACUGCACACCGGAUUCACGCCCUUCCCUGAGUUCUGGCCAGGAGUGUUCUCAAUCAGCUCAAAUUGUUACAAAGUUCAGCUGGAGGUUUUCUUCUCCUGUGGCUUUUCCCGGCAUCUCUGGUCGCCCUCCUGAAGGACCCCUGUGAGGCCAGGCAAAAAAGACUUGCUAGGAGACCCAGUGAGCUCCCAGGGCUUUUCCUGCUGCUUCCUCUACCCUGUAUUUCACUCAGCUCUCUAAAUUGACUCAGCUCCAGCUCUUGGAUCAUCUUACUGGAUUCUGUGGAUUCUUUUGAUUGGUUUCAACUUUCUCCUGAAUCUUGAUGACUUUGCUUGCCAUCCAGCAUUUGAAUUUUAUGCCUGUCAUUUUAGCCAUUUUAGAAUGGUUAAGAACUAUUGCUGGGGAGCUAGUGGACUCAUUUGGAGGUUUGAAACUUCUUCUUGCAAGUCCUUGAUUGUGCGUUUUCUGCCCGUCCCAGAAGCAGAAGUUGUUGAAGACAUGAAUACUGAACGUACCACCUCGAGAUAAGUUUUAUUAAGAGGUCUGUGCAUAAGACAAAUAUAUUUAGUUUAUUAAAAUGUACUGAGUAUUUAUAUAGAUAAGGAAUUUUGUUUCUAUGGAAAUAAGGCUUAAGAAUAGAAAUCUCUAUUUUUUUAUGCAAAUAAAAUUAAUUUGGAGACAAGUUCACUAACAAUUUGUUCCACAACCCUAGGAAUUAAGACAGAAAUAGAUUAAUUUUCUCUAUUUUAAAGUAUUCAAAGUUACUGCAAUUAAGACACCAAGAAUAACAAAACCCCCAUAAUUCAAAAUUGCUUUUUAAAAUUAAUUUGGAGACUAGUAGACUAUAAAUCUGUUCUUCAUCUUCAGGAAUUACAACUUAAAAUUCUCAAUUUCUAAAAUAUUAAAAUACAUUUAAAAAAACCUUUUUAUGCCUAAAAAGCAGUGCAAAAUGAUUAGUAGUAACUAUUUCAUUUUUUUACAUGUGAAAACUAUAAUUCUGUAAUACAUUUAUGCACAAAAAAUAUUUAUAUUAAAAAAAUUAUCACCACAGAAGUUAUAUUUCUAAAAUCAAAGUUAGAUACACUGCUCUCCUGGAUUGUAUUUAUGAAAGCGUACACAGUGAAACUAACUUGAGGGAUGACCAGGUUAGUUAGUUACUAAUGGUCAAGUUAUACAUAAUUUUCUUCAUUUUUAUAUAAAAAUACCCUUAGCCAUUCAUAAGGUAGGAGUGCCUAAAUUUAUUCUUUUUGAAGUGAAUUUGUUACUCUAUAUUCUCCUUAAACACUGUUUACUUUCUGCCAAAUUAAAAUAGAAAAUUAUCUUUU